GACGAACGCUGGCGGCAUGCCUAAUACAUGCAAGUCGAGCGGAGUUGAUAGAAAGCUUGCUUUCUUGAUACUUAGCGGCGGACGGGUGAGUAACACGUAGGCAACCUGCCCUCAAGCUUGGGACAACUACCGGAAACGGUAGCUAAUACCGAAUACUUGUUUUCUUCGCCUGAAGGAAACUGGAAAGACGGAGCAAUCUGUCACUUGGGGAUGGGCCUGCGGCGCAUUAGCUAGUUGGUGAGGUAACGGCUCACCAAGGCGACGAUGCGUAGCCGACCUGAGAGGGUGAUCUGCCACACUGGGACUGAGACACGGCCCAGACUCCUACGGGAGGCAGCAGUAGGGAAUCUUCCGCAAUGGGCGAAAGCCUGACGGAGCAAUGCCGCGUGAGUGAUGAAGGUUUUCGGAUCGUAAAGCUCUGUUGCCAGGGAAGAACGCUUGGGAGAGUAACUGCUCCCAAGGUGACGGUACCUGAGAAGAAAGCCCCGGCUAACUACGUGCCAGCAGCCGCAGUAACAC
rnacentral:rRNA from 1 species